UGCCUGGGAAAUUGCCCGGUAGAAGGGGAUAACCAUUGGAAACGAUGGCUAAUACCGCAUAACCUCGCAAGAACAAAGCAAGGGACCUUCCGGCCUUGCGCUACCGGAUAUGCCCAGGUGGGAUUAACUAGUUGGUGAAGUAAGGGCUCACCCAGGCCACCAUUCCUAACUGGUCUGAAAAGAAGAUUAGCCCCCCUGGAACUGAAAACCCGUCCCAAAUUCUACCGGAAGGCACCAUUGGGAAAUAUUGCACAAUGGGCGCAAGCCUGAUGCAGCCAUGCCGCGUGUAUGAAGAAGGCCUUCGGGUUGUAAAGUACUUUCAGUAGGGAGGAAGGUGGUUAAGUUAAUACCUUAAUCAUUUGACGUUACCUACAGAAGAAGCACCGGCUAACUCCGUGCCAGCAGCCGCGGUAAUACGGAGGGUGCAAGCGUUAAUCGGAAUUACUGGGCGUAAAGCGCAUGCAGGUGGUUUGUUAAGUCAGAUGUGAAAGCCCUGGGCUCAACCUAGGAAUCGCAUUUGAAACUGACAAGCUAGAGUACUAUAGAGGGGGGUAGAAUUUCAGGUGUAGCGGUGAAUGCGUAGAGAUCUGAAGAAUACGGUGGCGAAGCGGCCCCUGG
rnacentral:rRNA from 1 species